UUUCGGAAACGUAAUGGUAGAUCAGCUAU
rnacentral:piRNA from 1 species